AAAGAAGUGAAAUUUGUGGUUUCAUUGGUGUUCUUAAGAAAGAGGAACAAAUCAAUUAUGGCUUAUCCCCGUGCAAAUACUUUGGAUAAUACUCUAUGUAGGUGGACUGUGAGCAUGAAUGUGGAUGAUUCUAGGCUAAUAGAACACACAAAUCUUCAAGUUCUUAGCCAGAUUCACUGUAUGGAAUUAUGCCAUGAUUUGCUAAAGGAAGUUCCCAAGCAUUAGGAUCGUAGCCUGCACGUGUUCAAAUUUGGGUUAGUAGAAAUUUGUCCAACUCUAGAAGAAUUCAGAGCCUGCUUGCUUUCUCCACCCAAAGGGACGCUUUUUCGUCCUAUUCUACAAGUAGACUGUACCAAGGGUAUCCAAGAAUUAUUCGGAUGGAAUAGAAAGGAAAUGAAGAAGUUCAUAGUUUUCAAACAAAUAGACAUCUUUGAAGUAGCCAAAGCUUUUUCUCGAUAUAGACAUUUGGAGGGAAUGGAUCAGUGGCGUAGAGGUAAUGUCUAUCUAUUCUGCAUGAUAGCAUGGUAUUUGUUGCGUUAUCCUAGAUGUGGAUCUAUUCCCACCAUCAUCAAAAUAGUAUUAUAGCUUUGAAAAGGUUGUGACAUUGUUCCUACAAUCCUAGCUGAAACACUUAAAGGACUAGGCCAGAUGGUCAUUUCUGGGAAAUUUGGUACAAAUCACUACAUCGGGUGUCCUACUGCUUUCCAACUUUGGUUAACUGAGAAGUUACAACUAUUGAGGCCUUUCCAACAUAGUGAGCUGACAGCAAUCCAGUACCAGAUAAGGAGGGAAAUUCCAGAAUUCCACUUAAUUGCUAGUUGGCAGGAGUACCUUCAAGAGAAAACUGAAGAUACUAUCAGAUGGACCUAUCAAUGGUCGCCAAUUGAGAAUCUUGUUAUGAAUACCCUAGGGUGCAAUUAUGUUAGGCUGAUGGGUUUGACUCAAACGUCAUUUUAUCUACCUACUCAUCUAUAGUGGCAAUAUCAGUUACCUCAAACAGAUCCAGGAGAAGUGGUGAACUUCUAUCCCCUAGAGGAGCUAUCCGCUAGUGUCAUAGAUUUGCUGGCAGAUUUGUGGCAAAGGCAGCUGGUGUAAGGUCUUUUAGAAGAAAAAGUUCCAAACACUUAAGUGAAGACAGUUGAAGAUCUAGUUUUUUGGUUUAUUGAAUUUCCAUGUAACCAUUUUUCGUUUGUUGUAAACCUAAGCUUGGAGUUGAAAUAAAUUUAGCCUUUUCUAUCUAA